UACUAAGGGGGCUAGCGUUAUCCGGAAUUACUGGGCGUAAAGCGCACGUAGGCGGAUUGGAAAGUAUGGGGUGAAAUCCCAGGGCUCAACCCUGGAACGGCCUCAUAAACUUCCAGUCUGGAGUUCGAGAGAGGUGAGUGGAAUUCCGAGUGUAGAGGUGAAAUUCGUAGAUAUUCGGAGGAACACCAGUGGCGAAGGCGGCUCACUGGCUCGAUACUGACGCUGAGACUCGAAAGCGUGGGGAGCAAACAGG
rnacentral:misc_RNA from 1 species